rnacentral:lncRNA from 1 species
UCAAAUUCUCCCACACUUAAACCUUUGAUUGUCCUCUAGAAAAACUCUGUAUAGCUCAUGCAAGAAAAACAGUAUCAACCAGAGUUAAUUCAAGGCUAAAAAGGCUUAUAAGUUCAUUCAAGGAAUGUAUCGAUAGGUUCUAACGAAUCGAACUAAGGAUAUUGUAGUGACACUUUCUGCAAAUGCGGUCAUAGGCUUCAUUCCUAUACAAAUCAAUCCAUAUCACCCCACCAUACCUAGGCCUUAUUUUC